GUAGUCCAUGCCGUAAACGUUGGGCGCUAGGUGUGGGGUCCUAUCCACGGAUUCCGUGCCGCAGCUAACGCAUUAAGCGCCCCGCCUGGGGAGUACGGCCGCAAGGCUAAAACUCAAAGGAAUUGACGGGGGCCCGCACAAGCGGCGGAGCAUGCGGAUUAAUUCGAUGCAACGCGAAGAACCUUACCAAGGCUUGACAUACGCCGGAAACACUCAGAGAUGGGUGCCCCGCAAGGUCGGUGUACAGGUGGUGCAUGGUUGUCGUCAGCUCGUGUCGUGAGAUGUUGGGUUAAGUCCCGCAACGAGCGCAACCCUCGUUCUAUGUUGCCAGCGGGUCAUGCCGGGGACUC
rnacentral:rRNA from 1 species